rnacentral:rRNA from 1 species
UAGGGAAUCUUCUACAAUGGGCGAAAGCCUGAUGGAGCAACGCCGCGUGUGUGAUGAAGGGUUUCGGCUCGUAAAACACUGUUGUAAGAGAAGAAUGACAUUGAGAGUAACUGUUCAAUGUGUGACGGUAUCUUACCAGAAAGGAACGGCUAAAUACGUGCCA